rnacentral:rRNA from 1 species
UACAGAGGUCCCGAGCGUUGUUCGGAUUCAUUGGGCGUAAAGUGUGCGCAGGUGGCCGCGCAAGUCGAGUGUGAAAUCCCCGAGCUUAACUUGGGAAUUGCGCUCGAAACUACGUGGCUCGAGUGUGGCAGAGGAAGGUGGAAUUCCACGUGUAGCGGUGAAAUGCGUAGAGAUGUGGAGGAACACCGAUGGCGAAGGCAGCCUUCUGGGCCAACACUGACGCUCAUGCACGAAAGCGUGGGGAGCAAACAGG